GGAGAGGUACCCAAGUGGCUAAAGGGGGCAGACUGUAAAUCUGUUGGCGAUGCCUUCACUGGUUCGAAUCCAGUCCUCUCCACCA
rnacentral:tRNA from 1 species